CACUGUCCCCUAGGCUGCACAGUCCCGUAGGGCGGGGUAGAGGCGAGGGUUUGGUGAAAACACCUUAGAGGACAGGCCAUCUCUCCACACAACUGCAGGCUCUAUUCAUGCCAUUACGCCAUCUGGGUCCAGUGACCUGAUAUCGAUCAGGACAACUGGAGAAGGCCUAGGAUGCAGUGAGCACUUGGAGAAAUCCCGAUGGGAAGGACAAAGGAAGGACAGGUAUUGGAGAGAAAAAAGUCAGCAAAGAACCAAUGAAUCAUAUAAGGUCACAGGAUCAUAGAACAUCCCCAAAUCAACACAAGUGACUCCUGAGCCAGAAAUGUUCACUAAGGAGAAGCCUGUAAACUCCUUUCUUGAUUCCACUGGGAAAGAACUAAAUAAAAUAGAAAUUUGACACAAUGUCCUCCUC